rnacentral:sRNA from 1 species
GCAUCAGGCCUUUCAGGCAUCCUCUCCUAAAAACUUUCAUGGCCGAUCCCUCCGGGGGUCGGCCUUUUUUCUUGUGCGC